AACGAACGUUAGCGGCGCGCCUAACACAUGCAAGUCGCACGAGAAAGGGGGCAACCCCCGGUAAAGUGGCGCACGGGUGAGUAACACGUAGGUAAUCUGCCCUCGAGUGGGGGAUAACCUUCCGAAAGGAGGGCUAAUACCGCAUGAGACCACGAGGUCGAGAGGCCAUGAGGUCAAAGCCGGCCACUUCACGAAAGCUGGCGCUUGAGGAUGAACCUGCGGCCCAUCAGCUAGUUGGUAGGGUAACGGCCUACCAAGGCAAAGACGGGUAGCUGGUCUGAGAGGAUGAUCAGCCACACUGGAACUGAGACACGGUCCAGACUCCUACGGGAGGCAGCAGUGGGGAAUCUUGCGCAAUGGGCGAAAGCCUGACGCAGCGACGCCGCGUGGGUGAUGAAGGCCUCGGUUGUAAGACCUCGUGGAGGGGACGGAAGUAAGUACGGAGUUAA
rnacentral:rRNA from 1 species